rnacentral:tRNA from 1 species
GGGCCAGUAGCAGAGUGGUAAUGCGCCUCUCUCGCACAGAGGAGAUCAGCGGUCCGAUUCCGCUCUGGUCCA